UCAUAUAUAUUGUACACUACAGUUAUAGAUAGAACCAAGGCACAAUGUAAGCUUAACUCCAUUAAUCAUAGUACUUCAUAAGUUCAUAUUACAUCGAUCAACUCAAUGAUUCGACAUACUUGUGCAACUAUAACUAAACAUUCAACUAUAUCUAUCUUGUUAACACACAUGCACUUUCAGCGGUUCUUCAUCCACGGACUUCCUCCACCUGCAAAUCAAAAUCAUCAAUUCACAUAAUUAAAUCAGGUCUUACAUUAUAGGAGUCAUUUAUAGAUGUCAAUAUAUAGUAAACGAUUCAACAAAUAACAAUGGCUGCUUACACGAGGAUUCGCUUUUGCAUUUGCAGGAGGCCCUCCAGGAGGGCUUGUAUGCGGAUCAUGAUAAUCAAUAUCAUAUAGCCUUGUAUUUGAAGGAGGGCUUCCCGGAGGACUUGUAUGCGGAUCAUGAUAAUCAAUAUCAUAUAACCCUGCGGCGGGAUUCAACCGUCCUGCCCAUAUAAAAAUUUCUUUAAACAAAUUUGGUUCAAAUGCAUAAAUAACCACAUUAGCUCAUAUAUGAUUGCUAAUUAAAAUUGGACUAUAUAUAAAGGAGAAUAUAUAACCGAGCGACCUGCUGACAGACAUGGGGUUAUCACCAAGAGAAGAAAAACAAAGCACAGGUUGAUAUCAUUACGAGUGCUGGUGAGCGCCAUAAGUUAUCAAGAAACAACUUACUCAAAUUACAAUUUUGAGAAAGAAAGAUAGUUUCAGUAGUGCAUAACUAAAGAGAGGACUGAUA
rnacentral:lncRNA from 1 species